UACAUUGAUUUUUGGGCUAAAUUUGAUCAUUUCUCUUCUCUUCUAUUUGCUGAGGCUAGUUUACUGUUGGUUUUAAAGUGCUUUUGGUUCAUUUAAAUUUGUUUUGAGUCGAUUUAGUAGAUUUGUCAGGGUUUGAGCAUUUCUGGAUCAUCUAGGUUCGAGUUCGAGUCUGUUUGGAUGUGUUCGAGUGGUUUACUGUCCAAAUACCUAUUUCUGGAUUGAGAACUGAGUUGAAUCUGGGCCGUUGUUGAUUUCUGCCUAUCUGCUGUUUGAUAUUUCUGCUGCUGAUUCUCUUCUUCUGUCUCAUUGCAAUUUGAUUCCAGGUAAACGUUUUAUGACUUUGUUGAUGUAUCCAUGUUGAAACGAGCAAUGAAAUUGAGGCUGGUGCAAUGGAUUUGAACUUUAGAAAUUCAGUCACAUUUUUGAUAAUUUGGUUUUUCUUGUGAUUUGAAUGACUGUUCAUUGUAAUCGAAUUGUAGCAACUCUGGACUAUUAAAUAGCAGGUUGUUAAACUAAUUAGACGUAUUCCUAUGUUUCAGCAACUUAAUUUGGUUAGAUUCAUGAGAGUCAAACAUUUAAUUGUUUCCAUGAGUGUGUUUAGUAAGUUAGUUCAACAAUACGAAUAUGAGAUCGACAGUCUCUAGUAAACGAUGUUAAUUGGAAUAACAUUUUGAAUGGUACUAAACAAUAUUAGUGCCCAAAUAAUUACUGGUUAAUGUUAGUUUUAAUAUUAAGCUUUUGAGCACUUCUUUAUAUUCCAUAAAUGCCAUGUCUUACGUAAUGCUCUUCCAUAGUUCGUUUACUUUUAAAAUACCCGAUUACUGAAUGCAUGAUAGAACAAGUUGAAACCAUUUAGCAUAUCAUCACUCUUGUGAACUAGAAUUCUAAUUGGGCAUACAAUCAAGGCUUAGAAGACUGUCCAAGGUCAUCUGGGUUUUAGUUUGUCCCGAGGCCCAGGUCCUGGUUGGAUCCCUUUUCAUUUGGUCCUGGGCCAAGGCUUACUUUUGCAAUUUCUUUUGUGGACUAAAUUUUCAAAUUAUGUCGUUUGGGUUUACCUUGGAGUUUAAUGGCGUGUGUAGUUUAAAAUUAUUAUUCGGCUUGCAGUAGCCCAAUGACAAAUCAAUUAGGGCUUUUUCCUUCUGUUUUUUUGAGACAAAAUUAAGUAGAGAACUGUAUUUGCUUUUAGGUUGGCUAUAAAAUGAAUAAGACGAGCCUCGCCCAAAUAAAUCACAUAAGUUGCGAGGCCCUCAAUAAUUAUUUUCUUACUAAAAUUCUUGGACUUCGGGUGGGUCGUUUAGCAAAUUUUACGCCCCUCCCCAAAGAUAAAAAUGCAUUAGUCUCUUUAGGAGCGCACUUUAAUGACAUUACCUUCCUAAAAUUUGGGUCUAUAUUUAUGUGACCCUAAUCCAAAUCUCAACAGAGUCGAAAUGUGUCAACAACUACGGGUGCAUUGAUGUGACAUGGUUUGAGAUGCGUUCUCACGAAGUUGCAAUUUCGUUUAAAAUAAUAAUAAUAAAAGCGGCCCAAAGAUGAAAAGAGCACAAAGCUAGAACAUGUUUUGAAAUCAAAUAAAAUCAAAUACAACACUUGAGCGACCAUGCUAGAACCACGGAACCCAGAAAUGCUAGCACCUUCUCCCGUGAUAAAAGAAUUCUUUACUCGGGUUUUUGGUUUGCGGAUUGUCAACAGAAUCAUAUUUUCCUCGGUUCGGGAUUCAAUCGAUGUCUUGGGACACCAUUAAUCUCUCAAGCGGUGUCUCUAAAAUUUUAAUAAUAAAUCUUGUUCUGAUUGUCCUUUAAGUGGAAAAACUCCUCUACGCUCCUGCGGGCCUAGGUAAAAAGAAGGUGUGACAAACGGUGAUUUGCAAUGCCUUGUUGUGACUCAAUCCUUCUGGUGGCAACUCAUCUUCAUAAAAACUGAUCUUGUGACACUUUAAUACCUGUCCUACAAUGUUUUCCAUUUCUCCUCCGGUGAUGUUUCUCGGUAAGUAUGCCUCAUUAACCACUUUUAACAAAGCAUUCUUAUGUGUUUCGGAACUUUGUAACAAAGCCAUGAUAGAGAUUUGUGCCGGUGUAUUGUUGAGCUGAUCAAUGACUGAGUAUUCCUUGGCUUGUAUCUUUCUCCAGAGAUCAGCGGGCCCGGUUUGAGUGAUGGUAGGCCAACCAGAGGCCUGCUUGCUUGACUCAGCCAAAUUUUUCGGAGUAUAAACCCUACCAAUUCUUGUCAUACCUUGUG
rnacentral:lncRNA from 1 species